CCUACGGGUGGCAGCAGUGAGGAAUAUUUGUCAAUGGCCGAGAGGCUGAACCAGCCAAGUCGCGUGAGGGAUGACGGCCCUACGGGUUGUAAACCUCUUUUGUCGGGGAGCAAAGAGAGUCACGUGUGGCUCAUUGAGAGUACCCGGAGAAAAAUCAUCGGCUAACUCCGUGCCAGCAGCCGCGGGAAUCCGGAGGAUGCGAGCGUUAUCCGGAUGUGUGGGGUUUAAGGGGUGCGCAGGCGGAGGUGCAAGUCAGUGGUCAAAUUGCGGGGCUCAACCCCGUACUGCCGUUGAAACUGCAUCCCUUGAGUGCGCGAGAAGUAUGCGGAAUGCGUGGUGUAGCGGUGAAAUGCAUAGAUAUCACGCAGAACUCCGAUUGCGAAGGCAGCAUACCGGCGCGCAACUGACGCUCAUGCACGAAAGCGUGGGUAUCGAACAGGAUUAGAUACCCCGGUAGUC
rnacentral:rRNA from 1 species